ACCUAGCUGGCUCAGUCAGAAAAGCAUGAGACUCUUGAUCUUGGGGUCAUAAGUUCAAGUCCUACGUUAGGUA
rnacentral:tRNA from 1 species